UACGUAGGGUGCGAGCGUUGUCCGGAAUUACUGGGCGUAAAGAGCUCGUAGGCGGUUUGUCGCGUCGAAUGUGAAAUCCCGGGGCUCAACCCCGGGUCUGCAUUCGAUACGGGCAGACUAGAGUUCGGUAGGGGAGUCUGGAAUUCCUGGUGUAGCGGUGAAAUGCGCAGAUAUCAGGAGGAACACCGGUGGCGAAGGCGGCUUCCUGGACCGGUUCUGACACUGAGGAGCGAAAGCGUGGGGAGCGAUCCGG
rnacentral:rRNA from 1 species